CAAAAACAUUUCCAUUCAUUUCAUUGCACCUGAAAACCCUUAAAAAUCUCUAGGGAAAAACAUGCCACUCUCUCACUAGGAAAUAGUUUUGGUGUCCCAUAAAUGCUAUCACAUAUCAAGAAAAUGUUCUCCAUGAGAAAAUGUUUUUCUUUAUCCUCUCUUUUCUCUCCCUUCUCCUUUUCCUCAUUCCGGGGGCUUGAUUGUGAAGCAGUGAUUUAUUUCCAAGUGAAAGCUCUCUAUGGCCACUAAGGAAAUACUUUUAUGCGAUGGGACAGGCUCUGCCAUCUGGCUGGCCAUCUCAGACCCACAUACCUGCAUCUCCCAGCUGAGAGUGACCAUGUGACACAAUUCUGGCCAAUGGGUAUAAAUAGAAGACGCUGGGUGACUCUUUCGUAAAAAGUUUCUUAAGAGAGGAUAGAUUUUGCUCACCUGCCCUUUUGGCAUUUUGCUCAGUCCCCUUCUUUCUCCCUGGGAUGUUGAGGUGGGGUGUAGGGAAGCCAUAGCCACCUGACAACCAUAAGGUUGGAUAUGCGGAGAAAAAGGCCUACAUACCAAGGAUGGUGGACUCCAAAAGACAGAAGAGGAGGGGUGUUGAUGGCUUCGUUGAGGCACUGUGUCAGGCAACCACUUUCUACUCUUAGUUGUGAGGCAGACAAAUCCCAUAAUUGUUUAAUUAUUGUUUGUUGGGUUUUCUAUUAAGAACAGCCAAGCACACUCCUAACUGAUUUUAAUCAUCUUCUACUCAUUGUUGGUUGCUGUCAUUGAAAAUUUCAUUUAUAUAGCCCACUAGAAAAACAGCAAGUGGUAAAAAAUGAUUUUCAUCUCCAUGUCAUUUAGAAACUAUACAUAAUAGUAGAUAUCAUUGUAUGUCUUUCCUUCCCUGUUAAAAUUAUUUUAUUCUCCAGGUAGACUGUAUAUGGGUGUGAUUGCAUGGUCGAAGAUGAUGCUGACAGGAAUAUUGUUCUUGUUCACCUAUAACCUGUGCCAUCACUGUGGCUCACAGCUGGUCCUAAUCUUUGCUACAAGCUGUAGAUCUCACUACCACCUGCAAUGACACUAAGGGCUCUGGACCAUGAGAGGCAGCUUUGCUGUUACCAUCUGGCUGUUCAAGCAUAUAACUUAAGUCUUGCGGAGAUAUUAGGGAGAAGGCCAGGUCUGGCUGCCGUUCUUUUUCUUUGAAAACAUGCAAGAGCAACAUAAGAAAUGGCCGCUUCAUUUAAGAUUCUGUGGGUCAUAAAUCUAGGAACAGCUUCGGCGGAUGGCUCUG